UCUCGCAGCUCUCUUCCUCGGGAGGGAGAAGGGGAAAUAUAGCGGAUGGAGAGCGUUCUGAUACAUUCAAACCGAAGCUGUAGGCAAAGGCAACGUAUAGCGCCGCGCUAAGCUACCUAAAGUUUAUGUUUGUGCUGUAGGAAAAAAUCGUUCCCUAGAAAUAAUGCGUGGAGCUCAACCCCAGCUAAGAUAAUUUAUCCCGGGGAAAUCCAGAAACGCGGUUUGAAAAAAAAAAUCAUGUCAAUUUGUAAUUAUUUCAUUGCUAAACACUGAAGUCAAUGUAUGGGAAUUCUCGAAGAGUGCAAUGAGGAGGAUAUGACUUGACUCUACCAUGGCAAGGGGUAAGAGGAAAGGAUUGACUUGAUCGUCCCUGAAAAUGCAGAACAGCCCAUGAGAUCUCUCCCUUCAAACCAAGCGUGUGGAAGAUGCUUGCAAAAGAGCCCUGAAAACAAAACAACUUGAUUGAAGGCAGUUUGUGCAACAAUUGUGUCACGGAAUAACUAACGUUUCUUUAACUUAUUUCCUUUUUGGAUAUGUCAAUAAAUAUCAGCUACGCCAA